UUGGGGAGGUUGACCUUGCUCAGGAUGAACGCUGGCGGCGUGCCUAAUACAUGCAANCCGAGCGAAUGGAUUAACGAGCUUGCUCUUAUGAAGUUAGCGGCGGACGGGUGAGUAACAGUGGGUAACCUGCCCAUAAGACUGGGAUAACUCCGGGAAACCGGGGCUAAUACCGGAUACAUUUUGAACCGCAUGGUUCGAAAUUGAAAGGCGGCUUCGGCUGUCACUUAUGGAUGGACCCGCGUCGCAUUAGCUAGUUGGUGAGGUAACGGCUCACCAAGGCAACGAUGCGUAGCCGACCUGAGAGGGUGAUCGGCCACACUGGGACUGAGACACGGCCCAGACUCCUACGGGAGGCAGCAGUAGGGAAUCUUCCGCAAUGGACGAAAGUCUGACGGAGCAACGCCGCGUGAGUGAUG
rnacentral:rRNA from 1 species